GUACGGCAGCACGGGUAGCAAUACCUGGUGGCGAGUGGCGCACGGGUGCGUAACACGUAUGCAAUCUUCCUUUAACUGGGGAAUAACUCGCUGAAAGGCGAGCUAAUACCGCAUAACACUUCGAGGUGGCAUCACAAUGAAGUUAAACCUCCGGGGGUUAAAGAUGAGCAUGCGUCCGAUUAGAUAGUUGGCGGGGUAACGGCCCACCAAGUCUACGAUCGGUAGGGGGUCUGAGAGGACUAUCCCCCACACUGGUACUGAGACACGGACCAGACUCCUACGGGAGGCAGCAGUAAGGAAUAUUGGACAAUGGUCGCAAGACUGAUCCAGCCAUGCCGCGUGCAGGAUGAAGGCGCUCAGCGUUGUAAACUGCUUUUGUUCGGGAAAAAACCCCCUGGUUUCCACCNGGGGCUGAUUGUACCGAGAGAAUAAGGGACGGCUAACUUCGUG
rnacentral:rRNA from 1 species